ACCUCUUGCACGAGUAACGUCCUUUCUGCUGGCGACGUUCAAUAAAGUAGUAACAUUUGUGUGUUGUCAUCGAAGUAAUGGGGUUGAAUGCCCUUUUUUAUUUUGUUAAUACUUAAAACACUCAUUUAAUUGCCCAUUUAUAUCGUUUUAACCUACAUAUAUUGUAAAUGUAAGCAUUUAGCCUGCUGCCGGUUUUUUUGGACCGUUUGUAAAAUAUAGAUGGAAUCGAGGCGUUUUCCCAAUCAUAUCGAUGUGACGGGCCCAUUGGAUUGUACUCUGAACCCUUGUUUAUGGACAUGAGGCACCCGCAUUUAUGGAUAUGAGGUACCUUGUCGACUGAAAGCAGUAAAGUGUUGAGCAAGGCAUUUCCUUCAUGUGACCAGACUGACUUCUAUGGAUUUUAAUGAAGUCCACUGACCUUUAUUUUAAAAACCCAAUUAUUUCGUAGAAAACUAUAGUAUAUAAUUGUAACUUGUAGUAUAGUAUGUCCAUGUGCUUGCUAUCCUUGGAACUCAGAAAGAUGCCAGCAAUAUACUGUCAGUCAGUGAUGUAAUGAUUUGAAACUGCUACAAUAAAUUCUCAUUUUAAAAUA